rnacentral:rRNA from 1 species
CCUACGGGCGGCAGCAGUGGGGAAUAUUGGACAAUGGGGGCAACCCUGAUCCAGCCAUGCCGCGUGUGUGAAGAAGGCCCUCGGGUUGUAAAGCACUUUCAGUGAGGAAGAACGCCUGGUGGUUAAUACCCAUCAGGAAAGACAUCACUCACAGAAGAAGCACCGGCUAACUCCGUGCGAGCAGCCGCGGUAAUACGGAGGGUGCGAGCGUUAAUCGGAAUUACUGGGCGUAAAGCGCGCGUAGGUGGCUUGAUAAGCCGGUUGUGAAAGCCCCGGGCUCAACCUGGGAACGGCAUCCGGAACUGUCAAGCUAGAGUGCAGGAGAGGAAGGUAGAAUUCCCGGUGUAGCGGUGAAAUGCGUAGAGAUCGGGAGGAAUACCAGUGGCGAAGGCGGCCUUCUGGACUGACACUGACACUGAGGUGCGAAAGCGUGGGUAGCAAACAGGAUUAGAUACCCCUGUAGUC